rnacentral:rRNA from 1 species
UACGUAGGGGGCAAGCGUUGUCCGGAAUUAUUGGGCGUAAAGAGCGUGUAGGCGGUCCGGUAAGUCCGCUGUGAAAGUCCAGGGCUCAACCCUGGAAUGCCGGUGGAUACUGCCGGGCUAGAGUCCGGAAGAGGCGAGUGGAAUUCCUGGUGUAGCGGUGAAAUGCGCAGAUAUCAGGAGGAACACCGAUGGCGAAGGCAGCUCGCUGGGACGGUACUGACGCUGAUGCGCGAAAGCGUGGGGAGCAAACGGG